rnacentral:RNase_P_RNA from 1 species
UGAGCUGACUAGAUAAUCGCUCUAAAAGAGAGGAAAGUCCGGGCUCCAAGGGCAAGAAGCCAGGUAACACCUGGGAGAUGUAAAUCUACGGAAAGUGCCACAGAAAGUUAAACCGCCUUCUUUUGUAGGUAAGGGUGAAAAGGUGCGGUAAGAGCGCACCGCAUAAAUGGUAACAUUUAUGGCAUGGUAAACCCCUUCUGGAGCAAGACCAAAUAGAGGUUCUAUAGCUUGUCCUAGCUGAACCUGGGUAGGUUGCUUGAGUUUUGUGGCGACACAAAAUCUAGAUGAAUGAUUAUCCAUGACAGAACCCGGCUUAUAAGUCAGCUCAACUC